GGGAAUGUGGCUUAUUUGGUAGAGUGCUUGCCUAGCAUGCAUGAAGCCCUGGGUUCAAUUCCUCAGUACCA
rnacentral:tRNA from 1 species